AUUGUUAGUUUGUUUUGUUUUAAAAUUGUGUCGCUUGAGUGAAACCGCUGGUGAGCGCUUUGGUGUGUAAGUUGGAUUGGCCUUGGAUUUACUUUUUAUUUGUGAAUGAGACGGCGUCGACGCUUAUGCAGGCUAGGACGUGGGUUAGUAAGGUCUGUUGGCGUCUUUGGGCCUUUUCAGUUGAACUUUUAAACGCUUCAUUCCUAUUUGAAAGCCAUUCAUCGACUGGAUUGCAGCCUGAGCGCUCGAUGGAUUGUCGAAUGACACAAAACCUAUAACAAUGGCAUAAUUGGUAAAAAGGAAACUUUUUCUGCCCGGCGCUCAAUGAUAUCACCAGAUUAAAAAACAUCUUAACAAAUCGCGGCCAGGCUAGUAAACUGCCAUCGAGAGAGAGAUAGAGAGAGAAAAGAGACAUUGCAAGGUUUCAGAGUUUUCUCUUCUGCUACGCCCCUGGAUGGCUCACCUCGUGUUAAUUUCCAGGAGACAGAAACCUCACAUUGAAUUUCUAACUGGUGAAAUUGAUCAGUGACGAACAACUCCAGGAGGGAAACGUCAUAAAAUAACACCGAAGGUCCUAGAGAGGAGACUAAUUGUGUCUAGUCUUCGAUCAUAUAAAAUGCGAGAAGUCACGUCGGAAGUACCUUGAUGAGCCGGCACUAAUUCAGCAGACGACAGAACCACGUGGCGAUGACUGACCGGAGAAAGGAAAAGUAGGGAAGAAGACACAAGGUUUGUAUUCCGAUUGUUUAACUUUGCCGACUAUUGUGUAAAAUUAAUGACAGAGUGAAGGAAAUCAAAUUAGUUUACUUCAGUUAAAUUCUGGCUAGUGCUGUUUCUUUUCUAUUCGUUUAUGGAGUAUAACUUUGAUUACUAAUUUCAUAUAUUUGUUAGAUUUUCUUGACUCUUUGAAGUAUUGAGAUCAUUCAGAGAGACAUAUCUCACCGUGUAUCAUCCAUUAGGUAAAAUAAUCUAAAAUUUUCCUAAAAUUCCCCCUUUUUACAACCACUUCUACCAAAAAUAGUGUAAAAUUAAAAUUAACCCUGUUAUUGUUUCCCGUGAUGACUUCUGAAUUGGAGUAAGAACAAAUCCUUUUUCUACAUUUCAUUUUUUAACUGUUAAUUUCGAGA